rnacentral:rRNA from 1 species
UACGGAGGGAGCUAGCGUUGUUCGGAAUUACUGGGCGUAAAGCGCACGUAGGCGGAUAUUUAAGUCAGGGGUGAAAUCCCGGGGCUCAACCCCGGAACUGCCUUUGAUACUGGAUAUCUUGAGUUCGGAAGAGGUAAGUGGAAUUGCGAGUGUAGAGGUGAAAUUCGUAGAUAUUCGCAGGAACACCAGUGGCGAAGGCGGCUUACUGGUCCGAUACUGACGCUGAGGUGCGAAAGCGUGGGGAGCAAACAGG